GUUUGUUUUUACCGGUAAGCUCGCCACUGUUCAGUUGGAUUUGGAACGGUAACGUUGCACCAUACACGUUGUUUGUUGUUUGCAAUUAAUUUUUUUUUAGUUGGAUGAAAUUUGUUUUAAGUUUUUAUGGAUGUUGAACCACUUAUUUGUGCAGUGAGAGCAAGAAGGGCUCUAGGCUAUGGGAUGCAUCUUCACAGCAACAGAGACCGAUCGAUGAAACUGUGGAAUGAAAUCUCACUCGAACUGGGAAUUGAAUAAUUUAUCUUCGAACUCAGAAAAAAUGUGCUUAAGGCCUGCCCAGUAACCUGGAGUAAAUUCUCAACCCUCUGUACUUCUCUACCAUCUGAAAGGCUACACCUAGUUCUUACGUCAUUGAGCAGCUGUCUCCUUAUUUCCGACUCGUCCACGUCCGAGCUGUCGGGACUGUCUUGGGCCUGAGGACGCUGUACCGGGGG